rnacentral:hammerhead_ribozyme from 1 species
AUUCAGCUGAUGAGUCCUAAAUAGAACAAAACGCAUGGAUUCCUGGAU